AUUGAACGCUGGCGGCAUGCUUUACACAUGCAAGUCGAACGGUAACAGCACUUCGGUGGCUGACGAGUGGCGAACGGGUGAGUAAUACAUCGGAACGUGCCUAGUAGUGGGGGAUAACUACUCGAAAGAGUAGCUAAUACCGCAUGAGAUCUAAGGAUGAAAGCAGGGGACCUUCGGGCCUUGCGCUACUAGAGCGGCUGAUGGCAGAUUAGGUAGUUGGUGGGAUAAAAGCUUACCAAGCCGACGAUCUGUAGCUGGUCUGAGAGGACGACCAGCCACACUGGGACUGAGACACGGCCCAGACUCCUACGGGAGGCAGCAGUGGGGAAUUUUGGACAAUGGGCGCAAGCCUGAUCCAGCAAGGCCGCGUGCAGGAUGAAGGCCUUCGGGUUGUAAACUGCUUUUGUACGGAACGAAAAGCCCUCUUCUAAUACAGGAGGGUCAUGACGGUACCGUAAGAAUAAGCACCGGCUAACUACGUG
rnacentral:rRNA from 1 species